rnacentral:rRNA from 1 species
AACGAACGCUGGCGGCAUGCCUAACACAUGCAAGUCGAACGAGACCUUCGGGUCUGGUGGCGCACGGGUGCGUAACGCGUGGGAACCUGCCCUUAGGUUCGGAAUAACUCCCCGAAAGGGGUGCUAAUACCGGAUAAUGUCUUCGGCCCAAAGUUUUAUCGCCUUUGGAUGGGCCCGCGUUGGAUUAGCUAGUUGGUAGGGUAAAAGCCUACCAAGGCGACGAUCCAUAGCUGGUCUGAGAGGAUGAUCAGCCACACUGGGACUGAGACACGGCCCAGACUCCUACGGGAGGCAGCAGUGGGGAAUAUUGGACAAUGGGCGAAAGCCUGAUCCAGCAAUGCCGCGUGAGUGAUGAAGGCCUUAGGGUUGUAAAGCUCGUUUACCCGGGAUGAUAAUGACAGUACCGGGAGAAUAAGCACCGGCUAACUCCGUG